CCAGACUCCUACGGGAGGCAGCAGUGAGGAAUAUUGGUCAAUGGUCGGGAGACUGAACCAGCCAAGCCGCGUGAGGGAGGAAGGUACAGAGUAUCGUAAACCUCUUUUGUCAGGGAACAAAGACUGGGACGCGUCCCCGGAUGAGUGUACCUGAAGAAAAAGCAUCGGCUAACUCCGUGCCAGCAGCCGCGGUAAUACGGAGGAUGCGAGCGUUAUCCGGAUUUAUUGGGUUUAAAGGGUGCGUAGGCGGAAUAUCAAGUCAGCGGUAAAAAUUCGGGGCUCAACCCCGUCGUGCCGUUGAAACUGGCGGGCUGGAGUUGGAGAGAAGUACGCGGAAUGCGCGGUGUAGCGGUGAAAUGCUUAGAUAUCGCGCAGAACCCCGAUUGCGAAGGCAGCGUACCGGCUCCACACUGACGCUGAGGCACGAAAGCGUGGGUAUCGAACAGGAUUAGAUACCCCUGUA
rnacentral:rRNA from 1 species